rnacentral:rRNA from 1 species
UACGGAGGGUGCAAGCGUUAUCCGGAAUUACUGGGUGUAAAGGGAGCGUAGACGGUUAAGUAAGUCUGGAGUGAAAGGCCGGGGCCCAGCCCCGGGACUGCUCUGGAAACUAUUGAACUUGAGUGCAGGAGAGGUAAGCGGAAUUCCUAGUGUAGCGGUGGAAUGCGUAGAUAUUAGGAGGAACACCAGAGGCGAAGGCGGCUAACUGGACUGUAACUGACGCUGAGGCACGAAAGUGUGGGGAGCAAACAGG